GGUUGGUCUGAGUACAAUGGUAUUUACAACUAAUUGGUCACAAUGUUACAGAUUUCUUUGUUCCUUCUCCAGGCCUACUACUGCUUCAUUAGCUAGCCUUAA
rnacentral:Y_RNA from 1 species